rnacentral:lncRNA from 1 species
AGCAAAUCUGACAAGGGAUAAAAUUAAUUAUCAGGUCAAGAUCUAUCUGCCCUGAAAUUUUCAGACAAAUCGGACAACCUGUUGUUGGGUUGCUGCCCCCGAAUUAGUAAUUUUAUGGAGAUUUUGCAGAUUUUGGUUAUUAUCUUGAAUAUUAUUAUAGAUAGAGAUAAACUGUAAACAGCAAUAAUGUUCAGCAAAAUAAGAUCUACAAAUAAGUCAACAAGACCAAAAUUGUCAAUUGACCCCUUGAGGAGUUAUUGCUCUUUAUAGUCAAUUGUUAACAAUUUUUGUAAAUUUUUAGGAAAUAUUUUCCACUGUAAUUACUGGGCCAAGUUCAUUAUAGAUAGAGAUAACUGUAGCAACAAGAAUAUUCAGUAAAGAAAGAUCUACAAACAAAUCACCA